rnacentral:rRNA from 1 species
UGGGGAAUAUUGCACAAUGGGCGCAAGCCUGAUGCAGCCAUGCCGCGUGUGUGAAGAAGGCCUUCGGGUUGUAAAGCACUUUUCAGCGAGGAGGAAGGUGGUGAACUUAAUACGUUCAUCAAUUGACGUUACUCGCAGAAGAAGCACCGGCUAACUCCGUGCCAGCAGCCGCGGUAAUACGGAGGGUGCAAGCGUUAAUCGGAAUUACUGGGCGUAAAGCGCACGCAGGCGGUUUGUUAAGUCAGAUGUGAAAUCCCCGGGCUCAACCUGGGAACUGCAUUUGAAACUGGCAAGCUAGAGUCUCGUAGAGGGGGGUAGAAUUCCAGGUGUAGCGGUGAAAUGCGUAGAGAUCUGGAGGAAUACCGGUGGCGAAGGCGGCCCCCCUGGACGAAGACUGACGCUCAGGUGCGAAAGCGUGGGGAGC